GCACAGCAACAGUGUUAGCCAAUGAAAAUGCACCGAAAGCGGGUAUAAACCCUAUAUAAGGGGAGAGCAAAAGAGGAAUCUUUGGUUGGAUCCUCCAGGCAGCUUCGAGUCAAGACCGAGAUGGACAAAGAACUCUGCAGCUGAAGAAGAGCCGGGGCCACAGGGACGAAGACUGUCCUGCGCACGGGGACCAACCCAUCAGCCCCGCAACAUGUGGCUUCAAAUCAGACUUCUCUCAUCGGCUGGGUUCAGACCCCAAGGACAAAGAUGAAGACCAAGGCAAAGAUGAAGAUCAAGGCAAAGACAAAGACCCAAGUCCUGUGUGACCUCACCAUCCAUGCAGAGAUGACAGCUCAUCAGACCAACAGAGAUCCCUGCUUUCGUCAAUCAACCUCCUCCGCCUGCUGCAACAUCUUCUUCAUCAUCGAUCCAGUUCUGGGGUUCGAGACACCAAACUUCGUCCGUCUCUCUAAAAGUGCAGCUUCACAGUUCCACCAGAAGUUUGGAAACUACAUGCCCGAGCAGGAGCUGCGUGUCAAAGGCGGUGCUCGAUCCACCCCAGCGUUUUGCACAACUGAAUGGUUGCCACAGGAGAUUAAAGGAUUUCUCAAACAUGCAUGAAAGAAUAAGGAAUAAGCCCAGUCUGCUUACCGAUGUGGAGCUAACCCUCUGAUCCUCAUUCCUUGGUAUCUCCUGCUGACCGUAUGCCAGCGGCUCCUCUUUUAUGUU